rnacentral:rRNA from 1 species
UACGAAGGGGGCUAGCGUUGCUCGGAAUGACUGGGCGUAAAGGGCGCGUAGGCGGUUUGGACAGUCAGAUGUGAAAUUCCUGGGCUCAACCUGGGGGCUGCAUUUGAUACGUUCGGACUAGAGUGGGGAAGAGGGUCGUGGAAUUCCCAGUGUAGAGGUGAAAUUCAUAGAUAUUGGGAAGAACACCGGUGGCGAAGGCGGCGACCUGGUCCUUGACUGACGCUGAGGCGCGAAAGCGUGGGGAGCAAACAGG